rnacentral:rRNA from 1 species
UGGCGGACGGGUGAGUAACGCGUGGGCAACCUGCCCCAUACAGGGGGAUAACAGCCGGAAACGGCUGCUAAAACCGCAUAAGCACACAAGGGCCGCAUGGCCUGGUGUGAAAAACUCCGGUGGUAUGGGAUGGGCCCGCGUCUGAUUAGCUAGUUGGCGGGGGAGAGGCCCACCAAGGCGACGAUCAGUAGCCGACCUGAGAGGGUGGCCGGCCACAUUGGGACUGAGACACGGCCCAAACUCCUACGGAAGGCAGCAG